rnacentral:lncRNA from 1 species
AAGCAAGCAAACUACCAAGAAGUUGAGUACUCGCCCAUCUACUUGCUCCAAUCAGUGAGAAGAAUUGUCUCAUCAUCUGUCCAUUUUUCUGUGUUUAGGAAAUAUUAAGGUAGACAAGAAUGAGUAAUGGAAAGAACUCCGCCUGGUACACCUUGUUCUUAAGGUUUCUGUCUUCCUGCUUCAGUUCAUCUGCAGGGAGUGGAACUAAAUCCUUGCACACUGGGCCAGAGGCGGCAAUGAUAGGUGCUGCUAAGCAUUUCUCCUCUGCUCACAAAAUAAAAAUGGGCUAGCUUCCAUUGAUGAUGGGCAGUUUUUCAGGAGUAAUGCUAGUGUCUCUGGAUGAUGAAGUCUCUCCUAUAAGAUCCCAUGUACAAAUGCUCUAUCUCAUUGGAUGUGUCUGAGAAUGAUCAAUGCAGAGGUUGAAUAACUGCAAAUUUUGGGUUAGGAAUGGCCUAGCCACCAUUCCCAAUCCUCCCAAUUUCGCAGACACAGGAAGAAUCAUAUAAUCUUCCUAAAAACACUCAUGGGUGCAGGUUGAUUUUUCUGUUGUUGAAAUUUCAAAUUGUUUUAGGAGGCAUUGUAUAGCAGUUUGUAUUUGAAUUGUUGUGAUACUUUUCUACCCUUUGUGAAUAAACAUUUCAUAUUUAUUAAAAAGCCUUCCAAUUCAUUUUGAAAUUUUAAAUGGUAAGUGUUUAUGUUGAUUUGAAGGAAAAGCAUACCCUAAUCCUGGUCUUAAAAAGUAAGAAAGAAAAUCACAAGCAUUAAAUUCAGACUUGUUAAAAGAAAAGUCAACAUUAGGUCCACAUUUUGAAGGCACAGGGGAAGCUAAAACUGCUUGUGAGAGAGGCAAGUGGGCCUGGCCUGGCCUAGCAUUGUGGUCAAACUCAAAACUCAAAAGAGGUCUUCUGUUUUUGAACUAUUUCCUUUGUCACAGUCCAAGAGCCAUCACCCAAGUAUUGGGGUAAAAAUUCACGCAUAGUACGAAUUGUAACUCUUGGAAUUCAUGCAUAUAGCCUAUCCUUUUGAAGUCCUAAACUCCUAACUAUGAAAUUCUCUAAUCAAUAUCCUCUAUCUUAUAUUUUUCCUUGAGGAUUCUCAUAGUUCCUUUACAAUGAGCAAGAUUUAGAUGGUAUUUGUUUUUUUACUUAAUUCUAAAUAGAACGUUAAUGCUUAAUAGUGUUAAAUAUUAUAUUGUUUGUUUUUGUAAUAUUUUAUUUCUAUUAAGUAUUAAAAAGUAAAAAAAAUUAAUAUGUUAUUUUUUCUAUUUAGAAAAAAGCUACAUAUUUUGGUGUGUUUGUUUUUUUACUUAAUUCUAAAUAGAACCUUAAUGCUUAAUAGUGUUAAUAUUAGGUUGUUUAUUUUUGUAGUAUUUUAUUUCUAUUAAGUAUUAAAAAGUAAAAAAAACCAAUAUGUUAUUUUUUCUAUUUAGAAAAAGUUACAUAUUUUGGUUUUUUCUAUUUAGUAAAAAGUUUAUAAUAAGUCAUGAAAAAGUAGAAAAACAAACAAUUUAAAUUCUAAAACUAAAUUGCUUUUAUAAAAAAGUCAAAAAAACAAACACCAUAUUGAUUUUUUUAUUUAGUAAAAAGUUUAUAAUAAGUUAUGAAAAAAUAGAAAAACAAACAACUUAAAUUCUAAAACUAAAUCACUUUCAGUAAAAAGCCAGAAAAACAAAUACCACCUUGUGAGGUAGCACAACAUUCUUUGUUGCCAGUUCUUCAAGUUCAUUUUACUAAACUUUUCUAGCUUUUCACCAUAAACAGCCAAAGUAAUCAAAUAGUAAAAAUGAAUUUGUUAGAAGACUGUUAAAAAUGAAUUUGAGGUAAAUGACAGUCUAAAUUUUCUUGUUAAACAAGAAAGUCAGAAAAGGAUGGUGGUCAAAAGCGAAGUCUUCCCAGUUUCUGAGCUAUUUCCUUUUCCACGGUCUUGAGUCCGCUGCCCACAUGCUCAAAUACAAGCUUGAACCCCAAGAAAUCUCAGCUAUAUAAACAGCAGAGAACAUGGAAGCCAAUCACAAGAAACAAGCAAACUACCAAGAAGUUGAGUACUCGUCCAUCUACUUGCUCCAAUCAGUGAGAAGAAUUGUCUCAUCAUCUGUCCAUUUUUCUGAGUUUAGAAAAUAUUAAGGUAGACAAGAAUGAGUAAAGGAAAGAACUCCGCCUGGUACACCUUGUUCUUAAGGUUGCUGUCUUCCUUCUUCAGUUCAUCUGCAGGGAGUGGAACUAAAUCCUUGCAUACUGGGCCGGAGGCAGCAAUGGUAGCCGCUGCUAAGCAUUUCUCCUCUGCUCACAAAAUAAAAAUGGGCUAGCUUCCAUUGAUGAUGGGCGGUUUUUCAGGAGUAAUGCUAGUCUCUCUGGAUGAUGAAGUCUCUCCUACAAGAUCCCAUGCACAAAUUCUCUAUCUCGUUGAGAAUUUUCAAUGCAGAAGUUGAACAACUGCAGAUUAGAUAUCAACCAUGUUGGCAGAUUUCGGGUUGGUAAUUAAUGAUCUACUACCCAGCAGUCCAAUCAUGCCAAUUUCCAGAAAGAAAGAGGAAGAAUCAUAUAAUCUUCCUAAAUACACUUAUGGAUACAAGUUGAUUUCAGGCUUUGUUUAGCAGUUUGUAUUUGAAUUGUUGUCAUACUUUUCUACUCUUUGUGAAUAAAUAUUUCAUAUUUAUUAAAAACCUUCCACAUUUGUCCAAGCCAAGCCUUUACUCCAAGCAGGAGGUUUAUGAUUUUAAAUAGUAAGUGCUUAUGCUGAUUUGGAGGAUAAGGAUAACCUAAUCCAGGUGCGAAGAGGAAAAUAAAAUAAGAAAAACACAGAAGCUUAAAUUCAGACUUGUCAAAGAUAAGUCAAUACUAGGUCCGCAUUUUGAAGGUAGAAGGGAAGCAAAGUUGGUUUGUAACUUGUGAGAGAGGAAAUUGGGCCUAGCCUAGCAUUGUCGUCAAAACUCAAAAGAGAGCUCCUGUUUCUCAACCAUUUCCUUUGUCACGAUCCAAGAGCCAUCACCCAAGUAUUCUGGUCAAAGACGGAAGUCCUCAGUUUCUCCACUGUCUCUAUAUCUCAGUUCACAAUCAACUCCCACACCCCCAAAUAUCAUGUAAGAUUCAAUGAGUGAGCUUAUGAGAAGUCAAGUUGGCGCACCUUAGUCAAGUUAGCAGCAGCCAUGGUCGCUGCUGGCUGCUGUUAAGCAUCUCUUUCUCUCAUAAAUUCCGGAUAUGGUAGCAUAGCAGUCACGAGGUCCUUUUAAGGACCGUGGAAAUACCAUACCUCCGUUUUAAUAGACGUGAUGAGAUUUUGUGGUUCAGGAUUCCAAGCAUUAAUAGUAAACACAUAAUGGUCAGUUGAUUCUAAAAUUUUAUUCAUUUGAGGAUAUUGGUUAUAAUUUAUACCUUUUUUGUACUCUUAUUUUCCUACACUAAAAGUAAUAACACCUACUUGAUGUUUAAUUACUUUCGAAUCAAAAGCUUUUGGGACUUUAUGAUUGGCUUUGAAUCUGUUGUUCACAGCUUUCAAAAACAAUUUUGAAAAACUAGUUUUUAAGCACAAUUUUUAAAAACUAUUUUAUAAUUUAAAUAUAUUUUGGGUUUAUGAUUUCCAAUCCCAUAAUCUAUGUAUUUUUAGAAUUACCUUUUGUCUCCAUGAUGAUACAUGAUUCAAUGAUUCAAUGUGCUAGUGGUGCAUGGUGAGCUAGUGCAUGUUUGAAUUAUUUGCUGGAACUGGGUGUCUUUUUCUUUGUUUUUUGAGGUUGCCUCAAUGUUGGAUGACUGGAUAAUGGGCCUUAUCGAUCUCAAUUAACACAAAUCACAUACUGUUUGAGGUAAAUGUUGGUCUAAUUUUCUUGUUGAACAAGUCAGAAAAGUAUGGUGGUCAAAAGCGAAGUCCCACAAGCUUCUGAGCUAUUUCCUUUUCCAGUCUUGAGCCUCCAAUACAAGCUUGAACCCCAAGAAAUCUCUUUUAUAUAAACGGCAGAGAACAUGGAAUCCAAUCACAAGAAGCAAGCAAACCACCGAAAAGUUAAGAGUACUCUCCCAUCUACUUGCUAGAACCAGUGAGAAGAAUUGUCUCAUCUUUCCAUUUUUCUGGGUUUAGUUAAUACUAAGGUAGACAAGAAUGAGUAAAGAAAAGAACUCCGCCUCGUCCACCAUGUUCUUAAGGUUGCUGUCUUCCUUCUUCAGUUCGUCUCCGGGGAGUGGUAAGUUGAAGAGUUCAAGAAGUACAUCCUUACACACCGGGCCGGAGGCAGCAAUGGUAGCUGCUGCUAAGCAUUUCUCCUCUGCUCACAAAAUAAACUUGGGCUAGCUUCCAUUGAUAAUGGGCAGUUUGUCAGGAGUAAUGCCAGUCUCCCUGGAUGAUGAAGUCUCUCCUAUAAGAUCCGAUGCACAAAUGCUCUAUCCCAUUGGAUGUGUGCGAGAAUUUUCAAGGCAGAAGUUGAAUAACUGCAGAUUAGAUAUCAAACAUGUUGGUUCAUUUUGGGUUGGUAAUGGUCUACUACCCAGCAGUCCAACCCUGCCAAUUUCGCAGAAAGAAAGAGGAAGAAUCAUAUAAUCUUCCUAAAAGCACUUAUGGGUGCAAGUUGAUUUUAGGCUUUGUUUGGGAGUUUGUAUUAAUUUGAAUUGUUGUAAUACUUUUCUACUUUUUUCAAUAAAUAUUUUAUCUUUAUUAAAAAGCCUUCUACAUUUGUCUAAGCUUUUACUUUUCUUCAAAU